rnacentral:lncRNA from 1 species
GGGUGUUUUCUAAACCUUAAACUUGUUUUUUCUUUGUGAUUGGAACAGUUUAUUAGUUUUGUGUUAGUGAAAAGUUAAUUUCUAUUGGGAUUAACAACUGGACAUAGGAUCUUGUGAUCUAAACUAAUAUUGAAAUUAUCUGUGGAAUUUUCUCUCUUCCUUACCCUCUUUAUUUUUUUAAUUAGUUGUUAAAAAAAUUAAAAAUAAAGAAAAUUAU